UUAUUUUUUGUCCUGACCGUGCAAGAACUUUUAAAAAAGCUAGGGUCAGGUGCGCGAUAGCCAACAGCAAAAUAUUCGCGAAAACAUUCAAUAUUUUCAUUCGAGGCCGCUAUUUUUAUCAGUGAUACCACUAUAACCACAAUGCAAAGCGCUUCGAAAACGUAAUAAGGGAAUCAUCAAUUCACCUCCACUUUGGUGAAUAAAUCAUCGUACGCGUAAAAUAUUACCCACUUCUUGUUGGAAAUAACUUAAAUAUUGCGUUGAGUUCAACACUGAAAUUUUUCUUUGAUAUAUGUAGGAUGUGAAGAUCGUAAAUCGUAUCACGGCUGACGAAAAUAAGAAAAUUGAGCGAGUUAUUCCCAAGUCUGGUGACGACUUCAUAGCAGAAGUUGUUAAUGUAUUUUGUUAUCAUAUGUGGACAGGAUUGCUGUCAUAACGAAUGUGUGUGAGGUUUGAAGAAAGAGAACAGUUGGUCUGUGUGGUGUUGGCAAUACAAGAGCCAUGAUUAGAAGGGAAUCCACAAAAACUGAUAAAAGACUGGAUGAUUUUUAAAUGUGAAAUUUUGUACUAAUGAAUUAAAUCAAAUAAUCACCAUCAACCCGUGUUGAAAAGUCACUAGUAUAUUCGCACCAGGCUUGAAUGCCCUAGGUUAUUACGUCAUCGGCAUCUGACCAGUGACUGGUAGAGCGUUCAUUAAUCAAUGACAAUGAACUACGUUUUAGAUUUAAUUAUUGUAGUAUAUUGCCAUGUCAAGCGUCAUGAUAUUACUCAUAAUAUUGUAGUGGAAGAUCAAACUUGUUACUUUGCAAAGGAAUAUUGAGUAUUAAGGGCACAGCACAAAAACUGGAACCCAGGUAUUGAUGAAUACGUAAAAUGAU